rnacentral:rRNA from 1 species
UACGUAGGGCGCAAGCGUUGUCCGGAAUUAUUGGGCGUAAAGAGCUCGUAGGCGGCUUGUCACGUCGGGUGUGAAAGCCCGGGGCUUAACCCCGGGUCUGCAUUCGAUACGGGCAGGCUAGAGUGUGGUAGGGGAGAUCGGAAUUCCUGGUGUAGCGGUGAAAUGCGCAGAUAUCAGGAGGAACACCAGUGGCGAAGGCGGAUCUCUGGGCCAUUACUGACGCUGAGGAGCGAAAGCGUGGGGAGCGAACAGG